UGUAACAUACAGCAACUGCGCAGUCGAGGAAAUAGCCUGAAAGUUCAACUAGGGAAAGUGCCAUUGCUGGGCUGUGGAAUCAUUGACAGUUCCUAACUUCGAGGAUAUAAAGUAUCGACUUUGACUUCUGCACAUCUUAAUUUCUACGUACCUGGGAGCUGUGAGAAGAGCCACCAAACUGUAAUGGGGCUGCUUUCUAUGGCGCGUACACUCGUUCUCCUGUUCUCAGUCAUUUGCUCUAUAAACGGUCUUCGUUGUUAUACAUGCACCUAUGGUGCAACAGGCGAGUCUACGAACACUCCUCAUUGCGCGGACCCUUUCCUUCAGAACACGCAUAUGCCCAACGUUCUCCCUCUGGACUGUGCUAACGUAUCAAGACUUGCGUCGGAGGCCGUAGCUGAUGCAGGAAUAAAAAAAUUAGACACUUGCAUGAAAACAGUGAGCUCUCCGCUUGGCUGGGAUGUCUUCAGCAGGACAUGUUAUGACAGCAGCCAGUGCCCAACUACGAAUGGAUGCUUCUCAAACGCCGGAGCUACUAUCUGUUGCUGCAACACGGACUUGUGCAACGGUUCCGCGGCGUUAGUCUCCGAACUCGUGAUUGCAGUGGCUCUUGUCUGUGCAGUGUUUAUGCUUGUGGUUUAAAAUCAUACAUGUAUCAGAUGAGCAGCCCUUGAUUAAUAAACGAAAUAUGAUCGACAAAUUAAACAAAAAAUUCAACUCCUCACAUGUUGAAUACGGAGCACCGGAGGUGCAUUCUGACUUGUCUAGAUUCUAACACAUUUUGUCUCGGAAUGGCAUCCUGCAAUCUAAAAUAACGACAUCCUAAAAUGAUUUAUCAUGGGAUGACGAUAUCCCGAUAGUGAGAAGACAUCUCAAGAACUUACCACAGGAAGACGCAUCCUGAAAGCAUGACGUUAACAUCCUGGGGUAAUUUUAUUACUAAAUUUCCACAGGGCUUCGAUCUCCAACUUUCAGAAUACUAUCUUGCGAUUUUGUCAUUACACUUUGGGGACAUCGUCAUUUCAUUGAUGAUCUCAAGAAGUCAACAUUUUGCUUGUAACGUUCGUAAGAUGACGCCCUCCUGAGAUAAGAUAUGUCAACAUCCCAACAUGUCGGAUGACACUGACUUCCGGAACUCUACAUGCAGUUAAAAGACAUUUCUUGAACUGUUACUGUUUGUUAUUUGCUAAGUGGAAGUGGUUGAAUAAUGUUAGGUCUAAUUCCCCCACAAACCUCUCAGAAGAAUCAUCGGGGAAUCUACAUCUUGUUUUUAGCAUUGUUGAAGGCUAUCAAAAUAAUUAUGCGUUAUUUUUACAACUUUCUGUAGCGAUAUUGAGCACAUAUAAUUACAAUUUCCCCAGAUUGGGUUAUUUUAGGCUAAUUCUGUACAGUAACUCUGUAACCAUAAAGUCGCUAAGCGAUCGUCCAACCAGCCAAAUAAACAAGGCUGGAUUUACACUUCCCUUGAACAUAAUAUGGGGGAUUUGGGAGUAAAUAAAGGGAAACAAAAGGAAAUAAUUAAAAAAAAGCAACAAUUUAUAAUUUUACAUUUUUCUGCUUGCACAAUUAAUACAUUGUUUCAAACCUUUACGUAUUUGGUACGUAGCGCCCUCUACUUUGCUGCAGAAGAAAAGACAAAUUGUUGCAUCAAGGCAAUACAAAAUUGUCAGAAUGAACUCGAGGGCAUUAGAAAAUCUUAUAUUUAGCAAACUUGUAGAAUGGAAACUUGAGACAUCUGAAAACGGUGGUUUUUAAUGGCACUGCGGGUAUUUGUGCCCUCCUGCUAAAAAAAAGUCAUUUUGGGAACCAUUAUUUUUGUAAACUGCUAAAAUCAUACUAUGAGCCAAUCCACUUUCGAGUACAGUGCCAGCGUCAGCCGUUUUGCCUUGUACGAUCUUGACAAGAUGACAAGGGAAAACUCGGUUGGCUCCAAUGAACCGCAUUCGCGGCGUGCCCAAUCACAGUCGUAUUCCUGAACGGACAGUAUACAUUUGAAACCCUUAAUGGGAUGGUACCAGGUCAUGGGGGGGGGUUCGGAAU